rnacentral:rRNA from 1 species
AUUGAACGCUGGCGGCAUGCCUUACACAUGCAAGUCGAACGGCAGCACGGGAGCUUGCUCCUGGUGGCGAGUGGCGAACGGGUGAGUAAUACAUCGGAACGUGCCCUGAAGUGGGGGAUAACGUAGCGAAAGUUACGCUAAUACCGCAUAUUCUGUGAGCAGGAAAGCAGGGGAUCGCAAGACCUUGCGCUUUAGGAGCGGCCGAUGUCGGAUUAGCUAGUUGGUGAGGUAAAGGCUCACCAAGGCGACGAUCCGUAGCGGGUCUGAGAGGAUGAUCCGCCACACUGGGACUGAGACACGGCCCAGACUCCUACGGGAGGCAGCAGUGGGGAAUUUUGGACAAUGGGCGCAAGCCUGAUCCAGCCAUUCCGCGUGCAGGAUGAAGGCCUUCGGUUGUAACUAGCUUUGUUACGGUAACGAAACGGACGAGCUCUAAUACAGUUAGUCUAAUGACGGUACCGUAACGAAUAAGACACCGGCGUAACUACGUAGCCACG